GGUACUCGAGCGGCGAACGGGUGAGUAACACGUGAGUAAUCUGCCCUUGGCUUUGGGAUAACCACCGGAAACGGUGGCUAAUACCGGAUACGACCAACCUACGCAUGUGGUGUUGGUGGAAAGUCUUUUCGGCCAGGGAUGUGCUCGCGGCCUAUCAGCUUGUUGGUGGGGUAAUGGCCUACCAAGGCUUCGACGGGUAGCCGGCCUGAGAGGGUGACCGGCCACACUGGGACUGAGACACGGCCCAGACUCCUACGGGAGGCAGCAGUGGGGAAUAUUGGACAAUGGGCGGAAGCCUGAUCCAGCAACGCCGCGUGAGGGAUGACGGCCUUCGGGUUGUAAACCUCUUUCAGUACCGACGAAGCGCCGAUGAUGGUGGUGACGGUAGGUACAGAAGAAGCACCGGCCAACUACGUGCCAGCAGCCGCGGUAAUACGUAGGGUGCGAGCGUUGUCCGGAAUUAUUGGGCGUAAAGGGCUCGUAGGCGGUUUGUCACGUCGGGAGUGAAAACACCGGGCUUAACUCGGUGCUUGCUUCCGAUACGGGCAGACUAGAGGCAUGCAGGGGAGAACGGAAUUCCUGGUGUAGCGGUGAAAUGC
rnacentral:rRNA from 1 species